rnacentral:lncRNA from 1 species
GCCCUCCGCCCGCCGCGUCCGCCGCCUGAAGGAAGCUUCUUUUCCCGCGCCUCGCGCGCUAGCGCGGGUGGCAGAGAAGGAAGUGACGCACCGGGAUUUUAUUGGCUGCAGACACACGCAGCAUCUUCUUGCGCUCCUCCUUGAGGUGGAUGGGCAGCUAGCUGGAGAUGACACAGGAUGAUGCGCAUCUUUCGCACGCUGGCUCCAAGAUCUCCGCUGCCAGAUGCAGCAACAAAGCUUCUUUGUACAGACAGCCCUGGACACACUUCCAGCAGCAAUUCUUCUUGCAGGAACUGGUGCAAGAACAGGAUUUAUUCGUGGCACAGGAGCAGUUGGUGUCCACUGGGAGUGGAGGCAGAAGAGAGACCAGAGCGGUGACUUCAACAGAAGUGGAGUAAAUAAAGAUGAUCACAGAACUUGGAAGCUGACGAAAUUAAUUUUGGAAAAGAGCUGGCUUGGAGCAUGACAGAAGAAUUCGAUGGAAAGAGUGCUGGGAGCCCAACUCAAGACUGAUGUGUGCUUGGCAGGCAGUCUACCCCCGAUCUCAGUCCUCCAGCCUUUCGGCCUUUUUUCCUUUUUGGAGACAGAAUUGCAUCAUAUGGCAUCCUACACAGUCCUGCCUCAGUCUCUGCAGUGCUGGGAUUGUAGGCCUAUGCCACCUAGCCUUUCUACAAUACAAACAAAUAUGAAAAGAAGAGGGACUUCUUUGGAAAGGAGUACAGGGACUAUGGAAGAGAUGAAAAGAUAAUAUUGUCAGAAAUUAUGCCGCUUUUGAAGAGAUAAACUGAACUCUUGAUUCUGUGAGGUUAUUAAAGAAUAUUAAUUUUCAAAUCACGGUAAAAUCUUGAUUCAGCAACACAUGAGGAUAAUCAUUGUGUCCAUGGAAACCUUGGGAAGCAGUUGAAAGCCUGGUCCCUCUUGCCUGGAGCAUUAACACAACGUGGCUGCAAAGUUAGUCCUUUCCCGCUACCAUCUCCUGAAUACUGGGACUAACUACACGUAUGCACGAACCUGCCCAUCUUUGCCUCUGUUAACAGCUGCCACUGUCUCUUCACGACAUGAUGGCUGACCUAGGUUGGAAGGAACAGAGCCAGUUGGCCAUGGACUGAAACUUUUGGAACUGAUUCUGAGGAGUUAAUGUUUCCAUGAAUAUCUCAGAAGGAGAUGUGGACAAACGAACAGUUAUCUCACUCCUGUAGCUGGCUGAGCUUUUUAAAGAUGGCUAUUCUGAAUUCUUCACAGAUGGCACAGUGUCAGAAUCGUGUGUGGCCUCCUGCUGCCUGAACCAUGCCGCUAAGACAGUUGCCCACUGUGCAGCUUCACACCAUCUGCAGAGAGCAACACUGCAGAGCCUUUGGGAGAGCCUUGCCAGUCGCUGAAAGCCUGGCUGACUGCCAAGCCUUGCACUGUAGACUGAAAAUUGCUCUCUUUGCUGAGCUCAGUACUAACACUUAGAUCUUCAUGGUCUCCUGGGAGACCAUGUCAGCUGCUGUUCAGUGAGAUAAAUUUGGAUCAGCUGAAGAUAUGCACUCUCUAUGCCUUCCUUGACUGUCAGCUAAACAGUGUGCACUCCUGGCUUAGUACAGCCUUGGCUGCUGAGAGCCCCAUUCCUCCCCUGUGCUCUUCAUUGUCCUCAUGAUCUGGCUUUCAUCAUCCAUUAUACUCCUAACACUGGGAGUGAAGUGUCAUUGAAGAAUGUUCAUCAGGCACUACCUCAAAGGGCUGGAGAUGAUUGGUGAAUGCUUUGAUUCUUCAUUCCUCCUAGGACACAUAUCAAGCCCCCAGAAUUUCUCUCUAUCCAGUUGCACCAGUGUGAGGAACUUGACGGUGUCAGGAAAGUGAAACUGCUUCUCUGCUCCAUAUAAAUGUCUGUGCAGAUGCAAAGCCAUGCAUUACAUGGUAGCUCACCUUUAAUCCUAGCACUCAGGAGACAGAGGCAGGAGGAUCUCUCCGAGCUCAAGGCCAGCCUGGUCUUCACAGUGAGUUCCAGGACAGCCAAGGCUACACAGGAAUCCUGUGUACAGGUCCUUGGUAUUGCACUCCUCUCUAUAAACACAACUUGCUUUUAGAAUGUGUGGUUGUUAAGUUGUUCUGUGAAGGAUGGAUAAAGGCUAGCUCACUACUACACCCGUCAGCUUGCUCCUGUCACUUCUUCUCACCUUUGAGCACUUAGCAUCCCUCUCCGUGUUGUCUUUGCUGAAAUGCUUGCUAAGGCGAAGCUCCUCUGUAGCUGUCCUCUAGCCCCAGCCAAGAUUCUUUCAAGAUUUUUCUUUGGCCUUCUGUAAUUUGAAUAUGAUGAAUGUUUUUAUUUAC